UCCGGCUUAACGCCGGCAGUCUACCUAGAGUGCCCAACUUAAUGGUGGCAACUAAGUACGAGGGUUGCGCUCGUUGCGGGACUUAACCCAACACCUCACGGUACGAGCUGACGACAGCCAUGCAGCACCUGAACCAGCGGUCCCCGAAGGGAAAAUCCUAUUUCUAGGAUUGUCCACCGUUGUCUAGCCCAGGUAAGGUUCUUCGCGUUGCAUCGAAUUGAGCCACAUACUCCACCGCUUGUGCAGGCCCCCGUCAAUUUCUUUGAGUUUUAAUCUUGCGACCGUACUUCCCAGGCGGCUUAUUUAACGCGUUUGCUACGCCACAAAAGGGGUCGAUUCCCUUUACAGCAAAUAAGCACCGUUUACGGCUAGGACUAC
rnacentral:misc_RNA from 1 species